rnacentral:rRNA from 1 species
GGGUCCGGACACACUGAGGAUUGACAGGCAAUAUUAAUUUCGCUCCGGCGAUUUUAUGUUAAAUAUGCUAGUCCUUUCAUGAUUAUGUGAUAGGUGGUGCAUGGCCGUUCUUAGUUCGUGGAGUGAUCUGUCUGCUUAAUUGCGUUUCACUAAGGGCCUAUAAUUUAACGUGUGUUGCGGCACUUUGACCCCUCUUCGCGGAGNGUGCGUCUUAGCUUGUUUAGCUCACACAAUUAGGUCCUGAAAGCAACGAACGUGACCGCAACCUCUUGUUGCCUUUAUACCAAACACAGUCUGACCUUCUUCUCGAAGGGCUGCCGUGAAAAAAGGCUUUUUAAACUAGAGGGACCGCUGUUACUUUCUUAAACCAGAGGAAGGUUGCGGCAAUAACAGGUCUGUGAUGCCCUUAGAUGUUCCGGGCUGCACACGUGCUACAAUGAUUAUUGCAGUGAGCAUCUCAUUUUUUACACACCGCAUUCACGAGUCCAUUUAUUCAUUCCCUCGGGUUUGCUUUAAAUGUGCAUCUCUGUGAGCGGUAAAGCCUGCUUCGAAAGUAAGUGGGU